GCGUGCCUGAAAAUAAGGGAGCCCAAGAUUAGUUUGGGCACAUAGGAUAUGAUUAAAAUAUAAAUACCUUGAAAUUUCCACAAAAGUAGACACAUUUUGAAUUUCUGAAACAAAUGAAACCAGUGUGCAGUUGGCCUCCACCACAAUGAUCUUUGAAUUGGAUUACAGUUGAUGGAAACUGAAGUGUGAAAAGACUUGAGACAAUCAUUGUACUGAAGCCUGCUACUGAGUAAUCAUGGGGACCAAGCUAUAAGCCUACAAAAGAGAUGAUUCUUGUUGGCCUAGCAAAUAUCAGUGUUCUCAUUCUAUUCAGGACAAAGCUGCAAGUUUGCGAUUGCUACUAUGAAUUUCUCGGACUAGUCGAGAAUGGCCAGGGCUUAUGUUUUUGUUGUAUCUCAGCAUAAGAAUCUCGCAUGGUCCUGAUUCUUCAGAAACAGAUGUGUAUAUACUCUCUGACAAAAUUUCUUUCUAAUUUGCUAAGCAUGCAGACACACACAAGAACUUGACAGAUAUUUUUAGCAGAACGAUUUAACAAGUGGGUGCAUGGAACGAUUCCAUUAUUGGACCAUAGCAAAGGUCCUUAUUAUCGUUGUCUCUAGCAUCAUAUAUAUGACCAUUGUCUCCGUUUUUUAUAAAAAGAAAAAGAGAGCAUCUGGCCAUUGUCUAGUAUUGCGUCACAUGAUGGUGAAAUGCAAGUUCUGGUGCAUGCAGAUGCAGUAGUUCGUUACCGGCCACAUACGGAUCGAAAGGUUACAUGAACCAUGAGUACGGAAUACGAGCCCCCUCCUGAUUCAUCUCUCUUUAUGUCCCCGCCAACAAUAUUUCACGCUGUGUUGGGGAUUGGUCGGAAGAGCUACUCUACACAGCAAUAUGUCGAUGCAUCACCGGCCGGGAAAAGCAAUAACAGUACUUCAUGACAGCGUGAGUCAAGAAAUGCACAAAACAACACUGUGAAUUUAUGACUGAAUUGCAAUACGUCCAUACUGGUAUGUAUCUCUGUAAAUAGACAAAACGAGAAUGCAUUGCGUGGCGGCAACCACAAUCUUUCAAAGAGCGUCGAAGCUUGAAACCAUAUUCUUACA